rnacentral:lncRNA from 1 species
UUACCUCUUAGUUUACUUGUUUCAAGAGACCUGGCUGUGUGUCUUCUUAGAGUUCAAGAUUGGUGAGGCAAUUUCGUUCUAGAAUUGGGUUUGAUGGAAUUCUGUUAUGAUAUUGCAAGGUUUUUUCUUACAGAAUGAUCAGAAUUAGCGGUAACAUUGGAAACAGUGAUCCGAAAUUUUGAAUGCUGGCAAGCUCAUUUUUAAAGGAGAACAAAUGAGGCAUGUUUGAAUUUACCAUGCCACCAAAAUCUUCAUCUCUCACAGUGUUAAUGCUAUGAUCAUAUCACUCCAAAAGCCAUACCACUUGUGGUGUGAUGACGUUGUUCUCCAGACCUUACAUCAGCCGUAAAAGUGUUGGAAGUAUUAGUGAUUGGAGAUAUUGAGGUUUAGGAUAGUAUCAACAACAGUGCAAAGGUUCCUUAAAUGCUUAUCCUCCAAGUGAUGUUCUAUUUGUGAGCAUUCUGUUGACUAGUGCACAAGCAAAUGAUUCUUAGUCACCUCAUCACCUUGAAAAUAUUCUACCUGUCCUACUGCUGGGAUAUUGGCACAUUUCUUGUUGAACUAUUUUUACUGGCACCAGCAGGAUUAGCUGAUUAUCUAAGUUUAUGAUUUCACAAACCGUUUUAUCCGGGGGGCGGAUGGGUGAGUUGGAUAAGGCGUCACUUGGUGAUCGGGGCACCUUGAGAUCCGAGUUCAACUCUCCUGGUGAGCAUAGUUGCUCCCACAUCCGGGCACGCACCACUACACGGACAGUUCACACCUCUUCCUAACACAUCGCCUAACAAGUUCGCAUAUAAAUGAUGGUACUUCCAUCGCCCUCUUCCACACAAAAAAUACACCUUACAACAUUUACACUGCUCAUAUGAAAAAACAGCUCACAACACAAGCCAAACAAUGAACGCUAAAAGCAUCGUCGAGGCGAAAGGGCCAACCGCGCCCAUCACCUGGUGAUAAAUCUGGCCACCAGAUCCCCUCACCAGUGCCUACCAACCAAAAAAAAAAAAAAAAAAACCGUUUUAUCCCUUGGCAAUGUGUUCCGCAUGCAGGAAUUGUCUACUGGCGUUCAACAUCAGUCGACUUGUGGGACUAACGAUGAGAAUAUUAGCACCAGUGAAUUUGAUAUUUUUUGGCCACGUCCCUGCUGUUACUCUUUUAACGUCCAUCACUCGUUUCUUCAUCGAGGAAUGAACAAUUGAUUGCAACAACGACAACAAGAAUAAUAAUUUCGAAGGAUCAGCAACAAAUACAGAAGCAGCAACAUACGGCUCAACAACAUGAAAAACAGCCCUUCGUGAUUCAGCACCCGCAUCUUCAAAACAGCAGCCAGUAGUCAAAUGCACUAGAGGUGAUUCAUCAUACUUCUCGUCCGGACAUGAAUGUUUUGAUGUAUGGUAAACUAAUAUGCCGAUUUCUCGCUUUGAUUUUAUUAUAAAGGAUCGUGCAAAUCGUACAGACGUGAUUCUGGAAAAGUCGGCUCCGAACAAGAUGAUUUUCUUCUCCCAAUCAGAACAACCUUGCGACCUUUUGCCGUUAGUUCAGCAGCAAGUCUAGCUGCAGCAGCAACAACAACAGACGUUGACCUAGCCACAACAUAAGGAAAUGGAAGUAUAGGCCGACUUAGUGGAAACACAACCCACCACCAAUUCCCAAUCUGACUCUGGCUGAAGAUGCCGCGUGAACGCUCAACUGAUUGCCUAAUUCCGAGCCAAACCGCGAACCUCCCCGGUCCGUUUGACCCAUGGCCACCAACAACAUUUGGAGGGCUCCAACAAGGAUACCGCUCCGUUUCGUCGUGAAACCACACCCACAUGGAGAUUAAUCUGAGACGAGCUGGAGGUGUCUUCAAAACGUGGGCGAAAGAAAUUGAAGAAGAGGAAAGCGGAAUGAUUUCUGAUCCUGUUUACGAGGAGAUUGUGAAAGCGUGGCGGUAGCGCUCUCUGUCUGUGACCAACAAAUUCAGGUGCAACGAGGCCCGGCCGUCUUGCACGACCAGCCAGAUCAAAACGAGGAAGAUCGUUGUUAGAACAGCAAUGACGUCAUCCGCGAUUCGUCUCGAUGUUAUGACGACAGUUGGCCAUUGAUUCCCCUCCAACUACAGCAGUACCAUCAUCACCACCAGUUGAGCAGCCAAAGCCAACCAGACAGUGGGACUCACGAUCUUCCGACCACCAUCAGCUGUGCCUUCAAUUCACCACAUUUGAGGACCAAGCACCGGCAUCCGAGUUGGAACCAAUUCGACGCCGCUGUUCCACAUUCGCAUCCGCCGCCCUUUCACAUGGGUUUUGAAGGGGCGCCGCAUUUCGACGCCGAUCGCUACAGCCAGCGACCAGGCCAGCAGCCGCACUCGAAUAUGUACCCGUAUGAACAAGAGACGGGCCUUACUGCACUCAUUUUUAUGAACAGUGAGCGCAUUUUUGUGGCCAGCGGGGUUGUGCUGGAACAGCAACGGAGUCCUGACCUUCAACAGAUACCCACUCUCCCAUUUACCAAGUGCUGAACAUGUUUGCAAAAAGACGAAGAAGAUGAAGAAAAAAAAGAUAGAGGUCAGAAUGAGAGGAAGAAGAUGUUUGCCAUAAGCAGAAAUGAUUUCCCUAGAAAAAAAAACUUUUCAUCAAACAAAAAAUUUAAAGACGGCCCUGCUAACUUGUAAUGUUUUCGUGUAAAAUCACUAAAAUGUCGAUUGCGACGUGCAUGUGUCUAUGUUUAGGUGGGCGCUGUUCGGCUUUGAUAAAUAUGGCGGUUUUUUUUUUGUAUGUUUCUUUCGUUCUUUUUUGUACGAAAUUCUGGAUAAUUUGUUUGUGUCUUUUGUGUGUGGCAAAUACACAACUUGGUCUGAACUAUAA